GUGCGAUGGCGGCCGCCGAGGCGGGAGUCGGGGUGCUGCGGCCGCGGCGGGUUCGGGGGGCUCUCUGUGCGGUCGGGAGGCCGCCCACAGCCCCCAGACUGCCGAGGGCCCGCCGCGCGGGGUGCAUUAGCGGCUGCGUUGACGGCGGGGUCUGCGGGAGCGCGGCCUUCGCCCUGGACACCCCGGGGGGCGCAGCGCCUGAGCGCCGGGGCGUGCGUGCUCUGCCGCGGUGUGGACCCCGCCCCGCCGCCUCCCCGGGGCGCGGGGGCUCUGCGCUCGGAGGCCCCGCUCCCCCGCCCUGUUGGGGCCCGGGCGGCCGCUUUUCCCGCUGGGGUUGGGGGAGCGGGGCGGCCGGUGCCUGAGCCUAGUCCGCGUGCUGCCCGGGGGGGGGGGGCGGGGAGGGGCGGGGGGCGCCGCACCUGCCCCGCACCUCCCUCGCGGGGGGACGUCGGGCACGGCCUCCUGCAGGACGCCGUCCGCUUGCACGUGUCCCUGAACUUUUGGGAGCCUCCGGAAGACUUUUUCUUUUUUUUUUUUUUUGCACGCGUUUGUAGAACAGUAUUGUGUGCCAAAAAAAAAAAAAAAUGCAUUGAAAGCCAGCCCCACCCGCAUAAUGAGCUUUAGCCCUGGGGCAGGCCCUUCACCGCAGAGGUGCUCUGAGGUUGGUUGCCUCUGCUUGGCGUGUUGGGACCUUUGAUGUGACUUGUUUUUUUUCUCUUUUUGCAUGAUCUCCGCACUUGAGUCCGGGGAACGGGAACGCUUGUACUGACGGGUCACGGCAGGAAUCGGGACCUCCGGCGGGCCCCUCAGUCACAGAGAGAGAAGGAGAGAGAGGCAGAGACACAGGCAGAUGGAGAAGCAGGCUCCAUGCACCGGGAGCCCGACGUGGGAUUCGAGCCCGGGUCUCCAGGAUCGCGCCCUGGGCCAAAGGCAGGCGCCAAACCACUGCACCACCCAGGGAUCCCUUCAGACAAGUUUUAAUUGAAGACAGUAUUACUUUUUGCCUGACACUCAUGACAUACGUAUUUGUGAAAUUUGUAUUAAGACCAUAUAAGAAGAAAUGUUUUAAUUCAUGUGAAAGAAUAGAAGAGAGCAGUUGUGUAUGUUUACUAAUCUAAAAAAUUAUUUUUAGACUCCUUUCAUGUAUUUUAACUUAAAUCCCUGUUUCUGGAUUUAACAUUUUUAAAGAUGUGGGAUUUUGGGAUCUUUUUUUGAGGGGGUAGGAACCGUAUUUUCAGUGAAGUUGUAUUGAAAGAAUGGCUAGCUUUUUCCUUUAUAUUUUAUUAUUAAUCAGACGUAUAGAGUAUGUGCAGCUUAUCAGAGGGAGAGAAAAGUCCCGUCGUAUUAGUUAAAAUGAAGAUAUCAGUGAUUUUAAACUUUUUGUGCUAUUAUAAUUAUAGAAUUUUAAUUUAUAAUACAGUGGAGUUAAUUUUAAGAUAUUUAUGAAAUGGCUUAUUCCUUGAUAAGAUUCUAUAAUAUAUAUUUUUUUCAGAUAUGUAGAUUUAAGUAAUUUUUUACUUUUUUUGAGAGAAUGCCAGAGCAUGUGAGCAGGGUGGGGGAAGGACAGAGGGAGAGGGAUAGAAUCUAAGGUUAAGCAGACCCCACACCAAGCCUGGAGCCUGACAUGGGACUCAGUCUCACAACCCUGAGAUCAUGACCUGAGCUGAAAUCAAGAGUUGUUCGAUGCCUAACUGGAUGAGCCACCCAGAUGCCCUAAAUUUUUUCAUUCUAACAUAAGAUUUUAAAAAUAAAAGUAAUGGUAAAGUAAAUGAAACUGACAUGUAGUCUUCUACCUGAGAAGAAAAACUUGGAAAGAACAUAAUUUUUAGAAAUGCAAAGGUUUGAGGUAUGUAAUAUGGAAUUUUACAAAUCAGUAAAAGAAGAUAGAAAAGCUAAGCCAUGGUUUCACAGUUCACAAAAGAAAAAAAUAAAAAUGUCAUUGCAUAAUGUAGCAGAUUGUCUGCUACAUUUUCCAGAGAUGACCACAGCAAUAUCUCUCAGCUGAUAUGCUCACCUGCAAUAUGAUGUUGACAUCAUGGUAACCUGUCUCCACUUCAUUAAUUUUAGGUAGGCCCUUGGACUGCUUAGACCAAGAGAACAUGAUAGAGUGGAUGAUAUGCCUGUUCCAGGUGUUGCUCUUAGCGAGCCUGGCAAUUUCUUUCUGCCUUUUUAGAAGCCAGAUACUAUAUAAGAGAUGCAGCUACCCUACAAUCACUGUUGUAAGAAGGCCAAAGUCAUCUAACGAGGUCGUCAAGGAUAAAACAUCUGUUGGACAGGCCAAGGGACAUUAAAGGACUAAGUGAAGAAGCCAUUUUGAAAAUGGAUCCUCCAGCCCCACCUGCCAUGGCCGUUGCUGUGUAAAUCAGAUGAACCACCCAGUAGAGCCCUUCCCAAUUUUGGACCCACAGAAUUGUGAACAAAAUAAAAUGGUUUGUUUUAAGCUUCUGA